rnacentral:lncRNA from 1 species
CCUGCCGAAGCUCUUCCCCUGCCGUAGGGUAUUCCCAUGAAGUCAAUGAUACGAGACCUCCAAAGGGAAGCUCAUCGGUUGACAGGAAAAUUUAAGAAGCUUGAAGACGAACUCCACCGGCUAAGGAAGAGCCACUCGAAAGUUACUGUGGAGGCUAUUCACCUUCAGGACCUCCACAAAAAGGGACUCAUGAAAUUCACCCGGAAGAAGGCCGA